rnacentral:rRNA from 1 species
CGGGGGCCCGCACAAGCGGUGGAGCAUGUGGUUUAAUUCGACGCAACGCGCAGAACCUUACCAGCCCUUGACAUGUCCAGGACCGGUCGCAGAGAUGUGACCUUCUCUUCGGAGCCUGGGGCACAGGUGCUGCAUGGCUGUCGUCAGCUCGUGUCGUGAGAUGUUGGGUUAAGUCCCGCAACGAGCGCAACCCUCGCCCUUAGUUGCCAUCAUUCAGUUGGGCACUCUAAGGGGACUGCCGGUGAUAAGCCGAGAGGAAGGUGGGGAUGACGUCAAGUCCUCAUGGCCCUUACGGGCUGGGCUACACACGUGCUACAAUGGCGGUGACAAUGGGAUGCAAAGGGGUGACCC